GGGGGAUUAGCUCAGCUGGGAGAGCGCUUGAAUGGCAUUCAAGAGGUCAGGGGUUCAAGUCCCCUAUCCUCCA
rnacentral:tRNA from 1 species